rnacentral:rRNA from 1 species
AGAGUUUGAUCCUGGCUCAGGAUGAACGCUAGCGGCAGGCUUAACACAUGCAAGUCGAGGGGUAACGGGGAAGCUUGCUUCCGCCGACGACCGGCGCACGGGUGCGUAACGCGUAUACAAUCUACCUUGUACUGGGGUAUAGCCUUUAGAAAUGAAGAUUAACCCCCCAUAGUCUCUUAGAGUGGCAUCACUUCUAGAGUAAAGGUUACGGUAUAAGAUGAGUAUGCGUUCUAUUAGUUUGUUGGUGUGGUAACGGCACACCAAGACUACGAUAGAUAGGGGCCCUGAGAGGGGGAUCCCCCACACUGGUACUGAGACACGGACCAGACUCCUACGGGAGGCAGCAGUGAGGAAUAUUGGACAAUGGAGGCAACUCUGAUCCAGCCAUGCCGCGUGCAGGAAGACUGCCCUAUGGGUUGUAAACUGCUUUUAUACAGGAAGAAACACCUCUACGUGUAGAGGCUUGACGGUACUGUAAGAAUAAGGAUCGGCUAACUCCGUGCCAGCAGCCGCGGUAAUACGGAGGAUCCAAGCGUUAUCCGGAAUCAUUGGGUUUAAAGGGUCCGUAGGUGGAUAAUUAAGUCAGAGGUGAAAUCUUGCAGCUCAACUGUAAAAUUGCCUUUGAAACUGGUUAUCUUGAGUUAUUAUGAAGUAGUUAGAAUAUGUAGUGUAGCGGUGAAAUGCAUAGAUAUUACAUAGAAUACCAAUUGCGAAGGCAGAUUACUAAUAAUCAACUGACACUGAUGGACGAAAGCGUGGGUAGCGAACAGGAUUAGAUACCCUGGUAGUCCACGCCGUAAACGAUGGUUACUAGCUGUUUGGACUUCGGUCUGAGUGGCUAAGCGAAAGUGAUAAGUAACCCACCUGGGGAGUACGUUCGCAAGAAUGAAACUCAAAGGAAUUGACGGGGGCCCGCACAAGCGGUGGAGCAUGUGGUUUAAUUCGAUGAUACGCGAGGAACCUUACCAGGGCUUAAAUGUAAGUUGCAUUAGUUAGAGAUAGCUAUUUCUUCGGACCACUUACAAGGUGCUGCAUGGUUGUCGUCAGCUCGUGCCGUGAGGUGUCAGGUUAAGUCCUAUAACGAGCGCAACCCCUGUUGUUAGUUGCCAGCGAGUCAUGUCGGGAACUCUAGCAAGACUGCCAGUGCAAACUGUGAGGAAGGUGGGGAUGACGUCAAAUCAUCACGGCCCUUACGUCCUGGGCUACACACGUGCUACAAUGGUAGGUACAGAGAGCAGCCACUGCGCGAGCAGGAGCGAAUCUAUAAAACCUAUCACAGUUCGGAUCGGAGUCUGCAACUCGACUCCGUGAAGCUGGAAUCGCUAGUAAUCGGAUAUCAGCCAUGAUCCGGUGAAUACGUUCCCGGGCCUUGUACACACCGCCCGUCAAGCCAUGGAAGUUGGAAGUGCCUGAAGUCCGUCACCGUAAGGAGCGGCCUAGGGUAAAGUCGAUAACUAGGGCUAAGUCGUAACAAGGUAA